UUUCCGUAGGUGAACCUGCGGAAGGAUCAUUAUUGUAUAACCGAGGGGCGAGGGCUGUCGCUGACCCGAAAGGUCGUGCACGCCCGAGUGCCCUCACACACAUCCAUCUCACCCCUAUGUGCACCACCGCGUGGGUCCCCCUUUGGCUUGUUCGGAGGGGGGCUUACGUGUUCACACAAACUUUGUAUGCAGUGUAGAAUGUAUUUUUUGUUUUUGCGAUCACGCAAUCAAUACAACUUUCAACAACGGAUCUCUUGGCUCUC
rnacentral:misc_RNA from 1 species